rnacentral:tRNA from 1 species
AUUUAAAUAGCUUAAAUAGAGCAUAACAUUGAAGUUGUUAGGGUGAUAAAUUAUCUUUAAAUA